ensembl:lncRNA
CACUCACAAUUUUUAAUUAACAAGGGAGGCCCAGGAGAACACGUGUCCUCCAGGGUUUUUCAAAUCCCUGUUGCUGCACACGUGGCAUGCACGCACACAUCUGCCCUACAGCUGGCAGGAACAGAUGCCUCGGUUCUUUGUCAUUCAGAUCACAUUUCUGUUUUCUCAUCUGUUUAUUUCCUUGGGCAUCCAGACUGCAUCACGUGAAGCCCAUUGACGUUAAGUCGUAAGUGUCACGUGUGCAGAUUGCCACCUUGUGUGCCUCCCCUGUGAUGUCUGCUUGUCCUUCCUCAAAUAUGCAGAGCAGAUUUCCAGGUAGUUUAAAUCCUGUCCACUCAAAAGUGCCCCACAAAUGGAAGAGGGAACAUGUGAUAAGAUGUAGGUGCUGGCCCACCAGCUAAGACUUUGAUAUCCAACAUUAAAGCCGUUGCCAAGUAUAAAUGUGAAAUGGUCCUAUUUGGAUGGAAAUCCAUUUGCUAUCCUCAUUCAUGCGAAGUCAGGAUGCCAACAAUCCCAUUGCUUGUUUUCAUGUCAUUUCAUUGAUUUUUGUUAAUAAGCCCAUGACCUCUCUUAAAUUAUUCUCUGGCAACACCCCUCCUCCUUUGCUUUCCAAACAGUUCAUUCAUUUCGUUCUCAGAGGACCCACCCUCCACACUCAGAGCCUAGUGUCUCCAAGCUAAGCACAUGGAACAGUUUCACAUCCAGCCUAUACACCAGUUGACAGCUGCACUCCCAUGUUAGGCUCCCUGCAUGUCUUUGUCUUAUUUUGAGAAGGAGAUAGCAGUGAGAUGGCAUCACAUGAUAUAUGGCCACCUCUCCAAUCAACACUGUCAGCAACUUGGAGGUGCAGUCAAUGCCACGUGCCACAGGGAGAAAGGAAUUGUUUGUCUGGGGAUAGUAUCUGGUAACAAAGUUUAGAACUGUGAAAGGGAUUGAAGGUAGCAUUCCCCUGCUGUGUGACUUGUGACUCUGUUCAGAGCUUCAGAAUAUAAGUCACAAAGGAUCGUCCCUAACCCUUCGUACUGAGAUCUUCCAAGUGAGCCAAUGUAAUACUCCUGGAAUAAGAGGAAAGAUCCAAAACGGCUCACACAACCAGAGAGGGGGUGUCCCAUUCCAAAUAUCUUGAUCACCACCUCUUGACCAUAGCACCUACACUGUCUUCCAAACUUGAGACAAAGCCAGCCUUCACACUGAUUACCUGGCUUGCCCUAUCUUUCCCCAUUUCGGUCUUUCUCCCAGUCUGCUCUUCACCCAUUCCACUUCCCCUUGUCGUAUGAAUCUAUGACAGUGGUUCCUGGGGAAACAGCUCAGCAGAUUUUUAGAGACCACGCGAAAAGCCUCACUAGGAAAUUUACCUGUUUUUAAACAUUGCUUCCUUCCUGCCUCUGCUAAAUUGAAUGCUCAUUGUUGUUGUUGUUUUAAUUCUAAUGUUCAAAUCACUGCGUGCUGUAUGACUCUAGAAAGCCUUAACUUACUACCACCAAGAAAUAAAGCAAUAUGUUGG